rnacentral:rRNA from 1 species
CCUACGGGAGGCAGCAGUGGGGAAUAUUGGGCAAUGGGCGCAAGCCUGACCCAGCAACGCCGCGUGAAGGAAGAAGGCUUUCGGGUUGUAAACUUCUUUUGACAGGGAAGAGUAGAAGACGGUACCUGUCGAAUAAGCCACGGCUAACUACGUGCCAGCAGCCGCGGUAAUACGUAGGUGGCAAGCGUUGUCCGGAUUUACUGGGUGUAAAGGGCGUGUAGGCGGCACUACAAGUCUCAUGUGAAAUACCCGGGCUUAACUUGGGGGUUGCAUGGGAAACUGUAGAGCUUGAGUACAGGAGAGGCAAGCGGAAUUCCUAGUGUAGCGGUGAAAUGCAUAGAUAUUAGGAGGAACACCAGUGGCGAAGGCGGCUUGCUGGACUGUAAAUGACGCUGAGGCUCGAAAGCGUGGGGAGCAAACAGGAUUAGAUACCCGGGUAGUC